GAUGAACGCUGGCGGCGUGCUUAACACAUGCAAGUCGAACGGAGUUUAUGUGAUAGAGGUUUCGGCCAAUUGAACAUAAACUUAGUGGCGGACGGGUGAGUAACGCGUGAGGAAUCUGCCUUGGAGUGGGGAAUAACACAGUGAAAAUUGUGCUAAUACCGCAUAAUGCAAUUGAGUCGCAUGGCUCUGAUUGCCAAAGAUUUAUCGCUCUGAGAUGACCUCGCGUCUGAUUAGGUAGUUGAUGAGGUAACGGCUCACCAAGCCGACGAUCCGUAGCCGGACUGAGAGGUUGGCCGGCCACAUUGGGACUGAGACACGGCCCGGACUCCUACGGGAGGCAGCAGUGGGGAAUAUUGGGCAAUGGGCGCAAGCCUGACCCAGCAACGCCGCGUGAAGGAAGAAGGCUUUCGGGUUGUAAACUUCUUUUGUCAGGGACGAACACAAUGACGGUACCUGACGAAUAAGCCACGGCUAACUACGUGCCAGCAGCCGCCGUAACAC
rnacentral:rRNA from 1 species